CCAGCUUUAGUUGUAUAAUGAUUUGAGGCCAGCCUGGAACAAGUGAGACCCUGUGUCACAAUUAGGAAAUGGGGGAGAUUGUGUGUUUCUACUAAGUCUGACCAGAAGUUCUUACCAUGAGAAAUUUACUAAGGAGAAAUUAAUUUUAAGUAGAUUCUACCAAAGUGUUAAGUAGAUUCUACUGAAAACUGGAUGUGGGAGCUGUGAGGACUUUAGCCACUUCACAAGCCUGUGUCCUUCAAGAAUUUCUGCCUUAGAACCUGAAGAGCACUUUUCUGGCCUGGGUAUCUUACACUCUGUCUGGAGCCGGAGAGGAGGAGGGAGGCCUUCACCAACAUUGUGUAUCUGAAUGACAUAAGUCUGAUGGACGGGGACAAAGGGUGGAUCCCUGAGACCUUGGAGGAAUGGAAGCUUCUCUUACAUCUACUACAGAACAGGAGCACAAGGCCAACUCCUCAGGAGCCACAAAAUGGGAGCCUCAGUGAUGGGCCUGCUCCCAUCAAUGUGGGGAUUGUGGCACUCCUGUUAGCUAAGGCUUUGGGCCCAGAUCAGGCCUGGUCACUGCUAAAGGAAUGUGGUCUGGCCCUUGAGUUGUCCGCAAAGUUUACCAGAACCUGUGACAUCCUGAGGAUCGCUGAGAGAAGGCAGAGGUAAUGCCACCCUGCCAUACACUGUCUGUGGUGUCUGAGCAUGUUACUUGAGACUUUCAACAGCAGGUAGAUGGGAGUGCAGAGAUCAUGUAAUCUCAAGCCCUCACUAGCUCAUGAGGAGACUGAGACACCUCUGCUGAUUGUGGUAUAAAAGAGGAGGCCAAAGUAAAAUUUUACUCAUCACCAUGAUCAGGGUACUCUUCAGGUUAGUGUGAGUACCCACUACCAUGCACCCUCAGUUCUGUAAGAAUGCUACUGUUACUGGCCAGGCCUGGUAGAAGGAUCUGUGAACUUGCUGCUUAGGAGGUCAGUGCUGGGAAACCACAAGUUCAAAGACACACAGGGGAUUUAGUAAAAUCCGUCUCAAAGGUGAAAAGGGGCUGGGCAUGUAGCUCAGUGGCAGGGAUUUAUUUAUUAUGUAUGAAGCCCUGCAUUCAAUAUCCAGCUUAAAAUACAGAGCAAAACACAAACGCAUGCACGUGCACACACAAGCACACACACACAGUUAUUUUUGUCAAGUUUUUCUUUUUCUGUUUGUUGUAAAAUAGAUGUUGUAGAAACA